AAUUAGCAAAGCUUCUGGUGUUGAUUGACGGGAGCUGAGCCUGGUGAUAGUCCUCUCUGGUGGGUGGCAUUUUGAUUAAAUGUUAGCUGUGAAUUCUUGAUUAGGGCAACCAACUGUCCCUAGGGUGUGGAUUAAGAUCAGCAAACACAUAUUUAUAUCACACCGGCAGAGCUGAAGUAUUUAGAGGUAAAUUACAGACAUCACAGCCAAGCUACACUCUUUGCAGAGAGUGCCUAGGAGGAAGCAAAAUAAGGAGAAGCUCACUGGAGUGUAGAUCAGGGAUGGGGAUCAAGUGUGCUGUUAUCAGCUGUCUUUGUGACCUCGUGCAAAUUGUUUAGACCUUUUGGGUUUCAAGAGCUUCAUCCCUGAAAUUGAAGUCCUGUGUUCAAUAGUCAUUUACAUUCCUUCCGGCAUUUAUUCUACUCUUCAAUUCCAAUAACUAAUAUAUCUGCCUGUGUAAAAGACAUAAUGCGGACAGGACCCGCGAGUGCUCAGAGGAAGGGUUAGGAAGUGGGAUUAAAUUGGUUGAGAAAGACUGGGAAGUCCGCAGUGAAUCAUUGCAUUUGAUGACAUUCGUGUGUGCACACAUGGUGUGUGUGUGUGCGUGUGUGCGUGUGUGUCUGUAUACACAGAUGUAGGUGAGCCAUUGAGCUGUGUAGAUCAAAGCCAUCCUUGGUACUUCAAGGCUCAGUGUGGAGAUGCCAGGUAUCAUCAAAGGUGACUUUGUGGGCUUUAGAAUUGGAUUGUGAGGAGGCAGGGUGUUGGUUUUGCUGGCCCGUAGGUGACACGCAUCAUGAGAGCCAACCUGGGUGCCGGCUUCCAGUUCAGAGCAGCCACGUGACCUCCCAGGAAGCCUGGGCUGCUCCUGAGACUUCUGCUGAAGGGCUGUUUGUAGGAAUUCGAGCUGAAGAGAGAUGGCACGUUGUUUGAUGUUCGGACAGCAAAAGGAAGAACGGCUGAUUUUGAAGACCUCGAUUAAGGUGGUUCUCACAUCCUCCCCAUCGCCAUGGGCAAGGAUUCAAGUGAACGCCACGGGCAGAUUUUCCGUGAUUCAUCUGACAGUGUAGGCUGCAUCGUCGUUCCCAGGCCUCCUCCUCAGGGAUCACCUGGCCACCUGGGAGGUGGACAAACCAAAACGUCCACAGAGCUGGGCAAGUGAAGUUGGUGGACCCCAUGGGGCUGGGACCAGUGGCCAGACCUGUGCACCCUGCAGAUGGGACUGUUCCUCUAGGGGGCCGGACAUUCCAGCAUUUCCAUAGUCACCCUGGACCACAGCUUUGUCUUCCUCAAAAGCUGGAAUUCCAGGCUUUUUAAAUUUUUAUAUUUUUUUAGUUAUAGGUGGACAUAAAAUCUUUAUUUCAUGUUUAUGUGGUGCUGAGGAUUGAACCCAAUGCCUCAGGAGUACGAGGCGAGUGCUCUACCACUGACCACAGCCAGCCCUGGAAUUCCAGGUUUUUAUGAGACCAUUCUUGAUUAUCCAAUGUUUGUGAUGAAUUCAAACUUUUUGUCAAGCUGUGUAGGCAAAACCUCAGCAGCCUGUGGAAUGUGGACAUUUAGACCAUGGGUUGGUCGUGGAACAAACAAUGGAUUUGGACAGCUGGGACGAAGGCCAGCAAAGCCACUUACUGGCUUGGCACCAUGGGGUGGGUGUUUAAGAAACUUAACCUUUAUUUCUUUGUAAGUGAAGAGGAGGGUAUUUGCACCAUCUGGAAGGUCAUCAUGAACACGGAAGGGCAGCAGUGUUGGGGUGGGCAAUGAACCUGGCAGCUGGUGAGGGGGUACAGUGCUCACGG
rnacentral:lncRNA from 1 species